CAGACUCUCUCUUUCACUAAACUCUAAUCCCUAUUUUGUCUCCACGCACAGUACACACUUUUCCACAGUUUUUCUAACCUAUUCUCUCAUACUUUUCAUACACAAAGGAACUCUUAUUCCACAAGACUGACGAUUCACGUACAAAACACAUAUAUUCCUAACCUUUUUUUCCUUUUCUAAACAAAGAAACCAUUCAGUAUAUUUUUAUACUAGAAUCCUGCCAUCAACAACAGUUACAACACUAACCAUAAUCCUAGGAAUUCAAAAUCAAACAUGCUUCCAUUGUUUAUUCUUUAAUAUUAAUAUAGUAUUUGUUCUUUGGCAUUAAUAUUAUUUGUUUCCUGAAAGUUACAGCAGGAAGAGAUUAGAGCAGCAAUUUAGCGUAUCAAUUUUGCAGGGGAUUCGGACUCCAAAAAGCUCCAACAAAACUCAAAAAAUUAUGGAAACAAGACAGGGCCGGAUUGAAGGUGGCGGCCGGAUUUAGUCUUCUUCAAGGAUCAAACAAGCAAUAGGAGUGUUCUCUGAAGUCAUUGCCUCCGUUCUAGUUCAUCACCACAUCCAGAACCACAACAACCAUGGCCACGGUUUGCAAUUUCUUUUCGAGAUUAAUCAAAAAUCUUCCGACUAUGCGCCAUGCCUUUCACAAAGCUAAGUACUUUCUCUCUAUUCUAUUUUUAAUUUAUUAUUCUAUUUUCUUUUGUGGUUAAUGAAGUUUGCCCUCGAACUUGAUAAUGCACUCACUCUCUGCUUUUUGCCUCUUCUUUCUCCUUUUCAGGCUUUGUCAAUUGCCAAAGCUACGUUAUUGGUAACCCUAAACCCUAUUUUUAUUUGAUGCCUUUUAUUAUUAUUACUUGUGUCAAACCCUAUUAAGGGAUCCGCUGGUUACAAUUUCCCUCCCCCAUAUUACUGUUUCUUGCCUUAUAUUAUCUGCGUGGUUAGUAAAAUAGGGAGUGGCAACCAUGAAUUGAAUUUAGAAUCGCUAAUUUACAAGAUAAUAUAAUUGAAUAUAAUCACGUGAUUGGUGCACACACGCACGCUUUUGGGUAACCCUCUCUGUUGCCUUGUUGCCCGUUGCCUUGUUGCCUGUUGCCUUGUGUUUUUUUGCAGAAUAAGCCAAGUCCCUCGAAUACGAGGAUACCUCAGCCAUGUUGCCUCGAUCAAAAGGUCACGACCCUAAAUGAUGCUGCCUUCGAUACACAAAUGACCUCGACCCUCGGAAGUUGCCUACGGAAAAAGGCUGAGGUAUCUUCUGGCUGCCUACGAAAUGGCUUAUUCUGAUCCUUGCCUUAGACUACCUGCCCUUCUAUGGCAUGGGACAGUCUUAUGGCAAAGGAUGCUUCGAUGACACUUCAACCUCCAAACGAAAGGCUUCCUGCCCUCUUAUGGCAAGGAUAGACCCUUUCAUUCUGAAAGGCUAAAAAGAGACCUAUCAUCUGAGUUUAAGGUAAUUGCCCCUAAUUGCCUUGCAAUGCUCAAACCUUUUUAUUAUAUUCUUUCUCAUAAUUUUUCAAAAGGGCAACGCUUAUUCACAAGCUAAAGUCCCUAUCUCUUUCAUCUACAUUUUCUAAACAAACGAGCAAGCAAAGCAAUUAAGAGCCCAUGGAAAACCAUGGAUGCAAAGGGUGCCUUACACCUUCCCUUUGCAUAAAUUACCCCCCGAACUUAGAUCUUCUUUAAAAGGUUUUUUUCUGUUUCUUUUUGCCUUUCUGAUUUAGUUUGGAUAAAAUAAAAGUCGGUGGCGACUCUUGCUUAACCGCGACAUUUCGA